GGAUUGUGGCUCAGUGGUAGAGUGCAAGCCUAGCAUGCGCGGGGCCCUGCAUUCAAUUCUCAGCACCA
rnacentral:tRNA from 1 species